GCAAACUUGGUCAUUUAGAGGAAGUAAAAGUCGUAACAAGGUCUCCGUUGGUGAACCAGCGGAGGGAUCAUUACAGAGUCUCGUGCUCACCAAACCACUGUGAUCGCUACCAAGUUGCUUCGGCGUCAUCCCGGAAGGGAGACCCGCCCCCACCGCGGGGCGGUCUCCGCGGACGGCGGCGCCGGGGACCCCCUAAACUCAAGCAUUCCAAUGUCAUCUCGGAACAGGAAAGCAAGCAAAUAAAACUUUCAGCAACGGAUCUCUUGGCUCUGGCAUCGAUGAAGAACGCAGC
rnacentral:misc_RNA from 1 species